AGAUGUGAUCUCACUUUGCCCUGAAGACAACUCCCUACUUGUGUAUUCAAUUUCACUUGUUUUACUGGUUAAACCAUCCUGCCCUGGAGAACAUACUGAACUGGGUUGAGACAGCCUGAACCAAGCAAGUCUAUUGGAGCUGGAGGAACUUAGACACAAGAAAGACUGCAGAUGCUGGAAAUCUGGAACAACACAAGGGGACAUAAUUUGAAGACACAAUCCCCAGUUGGAAGUCACAGUCACUCCACACUAAUGGAUGUUGAGUGUAAACAUCACCGAGAGGCAGCUACAAUCUCUGGACUCACACUCAGACAGAUGGGAGUCUGCAGGACUAAACAUCCAAGAAAAUGGCCUCAACCCCAGCAAGGAAUGUCCUCCAGAUUUGAGAGCAGCGGAGACACAAGAGACUGCAGACACUGGAAUCUGGAGAAACACACAAGCUGCUGGAGGAACUCAGUGGGCCAGCCAGCCAACCAGCAUCUG